GGGCUUGUGGUCUAGCGGCUAUGACGCCACAUUGACAUUGUGGAUGUCGCAGGUUCAAAUCCUGCCGAGCCCAC
rnacentral:tRNA from 1 species